UUCGCGUAACGCAUGCACGGAACUCUCCCUGCUGCACUGCCCCCAAAUCGCAAAAUUGGAACCCCUCCCCAAAUCAAGAACCCUAGAGGCUGGCGCGCGGCGCAAAGGCGCCCAGCGGCCGCCGUCCUGCUCCCUGCGUCCGCGCCCCAGUCCCAGUCCUGCCGCGCCCGCGGAAGGCCGGCCGCCGGCGGCUGGCUGCGGCCAGGAGGGCUUGAGGACUAGGCGAGGCGCCGAGGCCGCGACUCGCGAGGGCCGAGGGUGGAGGCCAGGAGGGGCCGAGCGGCGAGCGGCCGACCAGCGGAGGGCCAACGCCCAGGUGUGGUUUCUAAGACUCUAAGACUGGAAUGUACCUUUUCUCCAAGCGUAGGUUCACCAGACGUAUUUGGGAUGAUAUUUCUACUUGGUUGGCAGAACUGUCGCUGCACCCAACAAACUGGAACAAACAGCCUCACUCCAUGAGUGGUGGUCGGCAUUAGCCGGGACACAAAAAGUUGUGCGCAAAGGUCUAAAAUCUCUAGUCAUCCUUGUAGGCUAAGAAGUGUGGUUGGAGCGCAAUGCUCGCAUUUUCAAUUGUACAUAAACACCCUCGGCCUGUGGUAUCGUUGCGGACUGUGGCCGGCACGAAGCAUCUGGCACAGUUUUAUUGGUA